AAUAGUGCUGGUUUCGUCUAUCUACGCUUCGAAAACACUACGGCAGCCAUGAAUGCGCAGCGUGCACUUCAUGGAAGAUGGUUUGCCGGAAAAAUGAUUACAGCUACCUUCAUGAUUCCUCAGAACUACGAUGCAAAAUUUCCCAAUUGACUAAUGUUAAAAUCUCUCAGAUCAUAUUUGAAAGUUGUGGCCUUUUCGCCGUCUACAGCUUUGUUGGGUGGGAAAUACUAUAAUAAGUGAUGGUGUUGUAGGAUUCGUUCUACUCAUUCUUUAGCUGGUUUGUUUCGUGGGGAGCCUCGGUUCUCCAAUCCCCACACGAACCUGUUAGCCUUGAUGGCAGGAUUAGGAAGGGGAUCAGCAAUGUCUUCCUGUGCUGUACUUUUUAUAUAAUUUUUUUUUUAAAAGUUAUGUGGAGAUAUUUUUAAGGUCUGCUUCGGCUAUCCAAACAGCUGCAUAUUCUGUAAGCAGUCACCAAAUCUGUGAUCUCAAGAACAGCAGUUUAAUUUUUAUUUUUCUUGA